GAUGAAGAACGCAGCGAAAUGCGAUACGUAAUGUGAAUUGCAGAAUUCAGUGAAUCAUCGAGUCUUUGAACGCACAUUGCGCCCCCUGGUAUUCCGGGGGGCAUGCCUGUCCGAGCGUCAUUGCUGCCCUCAAGCACGGCUUGUGUGUUGGGCCUCCGUCCUCCUCCCGGGGGACGGGCCCGAAAGGCAGCGGCGGCACCGCGUCCGGUCCUCGAGCGUAUGGGGCUUCGUCACCCGCUCUUGUAGGCCCGGUCGGCGCUUGCCGACACAUCAAUCUUUUUUCCAGGUUGACCUCGGAACAGGUAGGGAUACCCGCUGAACUUAAGCAUAUCAAUAAGCGGAGGA
rnacentral:misc_RNA from 1 species